rnacentral:rRNA from 1 species
GACGAACGCUGGCGGCGUGCCUAAUACAUGCAAGUCGAGCGAAUCAAUAGGAGCUUGCUCCUGUUGGUUAGCGGCGGACGGGUGAGUAACACGUGGGCAACCUGCCUGUAAGACUGGGAUAACACCGGGAAACCGGUGCUAAUACCGGAUAAUCCUUUUCCUCUCAUGAGGAAAAGCUGAAAGACGGUUUCGGCUGUCACUUACAGAUGGGCCCGCGGCGCAUUAGCUAGUUGGUGAGGUAACGGCUCACCAAGGCGACGAUGCGUAGCCGACCUGGGAGGGUGAUCGGCCACACUGGGACUGAGACACGGCCCAGACUCCUACGGGAGGCAGCAGUAGGGAAUCUUCCACAAUGGACGAAAGUCUGAUGGAGCAACGCCGCGUGAGUGAUGAAGGCCUUCGGGUCGUAAAGCUCUGUUGUUAGGGAAGAACAAGUACCGGAGUAACUGCCGGUACCUUGACGGUACCUAACCAGAAAGCCACGGCUAACUACGUGCCAGCCGCCGCCGUAA